ensembl:lncRNA
AUGGAGUGUCCCAGUACUAGACAACACAAGGUCCAGCUGUUGGCAUCACCGGUACGUGAAAUACAGAGGGAAAGCCUGGAAUUGCUCAGCAUGUACUCACAAACUCAACACGGAAGAGACGUGCUCAUCGACAACCUGAAUUUAACCCAAAUGGCGGGGAACCUGAUGAGCUGUGUUUGCUGGGAUACGAGCUCCGCAUUGGCGCUUACAGUUCUGGAGAACUUAGCUGCAGAAAAUAAAUUUAAGAUUCAGUCAAGGGAGAACUUCACAGCAGUGUUUGCACUUCCUCUUGAACAUCUGCUGGAGCGGUGUGUCGGCUGCGAAUGUAGAAGUGUCCUCUAUCCCCUCCUGGGUUUUAUGAUCAACUUAGCCUCAAAUCCCUCUCAAGUUGUCCAGGAGCGCACGCUGUUCGGGCCAGCAGCAGGUGCUUGGACCUGCUGA